ACUUGUGCUCUUCCGAUCUGGAAAAGGUAAAAAGUUCAACUCUGAUGAAGACAUCUUACUUCAUCCCGACGACCACCCGGACGACCAGAGAGUGAUACGCAAGCGCAGAAGGACUGAUAAGAUAAUUAGCAUAUGAAGCGGGGCUAGGCUGAGCUAGGAAAUGAAUAUGCAUAGAUGUGUUGUAAAACUUAAUGCAUUUGUAAUAUUUUAGGAGA